CCAAAGCCACCUAACUGAACCUUUCCCCAGGGCCUCUUCUGCCCCUGUAGGCAAUUUCACCUUCUGAAUUGUACUUGCCUCUGGGCACUCAGUUUUCCCUUGAGGACCAGAUACCACCGGGAGCCAGACUGAGCUCCCCCUCCAGCAGGUGUUCUCCAGGAGGAGGUGGGACGGCCCUCAGAUAUCCCUUGGCCCGCCAGGCCUUGGACAAGCCCUCAAAAGACCCCGAGACGCCCUGAUCAAGCUCUAAGCAUGAUAGAUGGAAAGCGAACAGAGAAUAGGGAGAUCUCACCACCUCACGAGAUGACAGCUCCCCUGGAACUCUGACACCACAGCCGGCGUCAGACUUGAGAUGAGCAACAGAGACUGAGAGUAUUACGGAUGGACUCGUGUUGGAGUGACUCACUGGGCAUAUGAGAAAGCCUGGGGACGUUCGGACUCCGUGCUGGUCAAGUCACCCUGACACGGCUUCAAGGCCUAUACCAUCCUUUCUGCGGGUCUCUGAUUAUUUCUGUAUGUAUUUGUGUGACUAUUCCGUUAAUGCCUGUCUCCCCCACCGGUCGGUGCACCGGGUGAUGACAGGGACCCUGCCAGCUUUCUGCGCUUUGUUGAGCUCCCAGCACCGGCCUGGCACAGCGUAGCUGCUCAAUUAAUAUCUGCUGAAUGAAAAAACAGGACCGAAACACUUAGAGGUCAGAAGAUGGGCAGGUUUCACACCGGGAAUACAUUCCAUCUCUUCCCUCCCCAGGUGGGUGGGACUGGCCUGAAGGGAGACACUGGAGCCGAAGGGAGCCCCAAUCUGGCAUCAGGCUGAAGCUGGGCAAAGCAAAGAGGAACGGAAUACACAUUCCCAAGAGGGGUGCUAGGAGGCCAGGACUGGCCUAAAACUUCAAAUCCUAGAGACAAGAACGAGAAUAAUAGACGUCUGGGGUUUGCAAAAUGAUACAGGAAGCGAGUUCAGAGGGAGAUGUGAAGAGCUCCCAUCUCCAGGCCUGAGAGCCUUUUGUUGGUGCCCAAAGCCAAGUUCCCGAGAAUUAAGGGCACCUAUGCUGUCCGGCCUAAUAUCAAAGGGACCUGUGAGCCCUGAGACCCAAUGACAUUUAUUUAAACAGUAUCUGUCAGGGGCGCCUGGGUGGCUCAGUGGCUUAAGCAGCUACCUUUGGAUCAGGUCAUGAUCCCAGGGUCGCAGGGUCGGGGCCCUGCUCAGCAGGAAGUCUGCUUCUCCCUCUCCCUCGUGCCCUCCCCAUCGCUUAUGCACACACUGUCUCUCUCUCUCAAAUAAAUAAAUAAAAUCUUUAAAAAUAAUAACA
rnacentral:lncRNA from 12 species